GGCUCCAUGGUCAAGCGGUCAAGACAUCGCCCUUUCACGGCGGUAACCCGGGUUCGAUUCCCGGUGGAGUCA
rnacentral:tRNA from 5 species